CAAAGCACUAUCAAACUCGUGCUUUACUCUAAGUAAAUAGUUUGACCUUGCUACCACUGGCUUUCUUUGCUCGUUGCCACCUCUGCCAUAGGAGCGAAUGCUUUGAUGGCUACACAUCUUCUCGCAUGACAUAGGUUGCUCGUUGCUAGAGUGCUUUAUGAAAAAGAAAGAAAGAGAGAAUCGUUGAACGCUUCAACUUGGCUGGGCGAGAGACUGGGCCAACUUACUGCUGCCAUGCCAUGGUUGAAGCUUGAGGCUCCAUAGACCGAACUAUGUAUAAGGUCCUUUUUUUGGAGGGGAGGACACCGCUCAGCACCAACCAGUGCGGUUCAAU
rnacentral:lncRNA from 1 species